rnacentral:lncRNA from 1 species
GUACACAAAUACAGAAUGAAUCCUACUUAAUUACCUGACUUUUAUUUUGAGACAACUUCUCCAUGGGCUUUAAACGGGCACCUGGCUCACAAAUGCAAUCAACUUUCAGCCCGUGCAAAACAUGCCCCCGGGCCAGAUUAAUCAAAUCCCAACAAACUUGAAAGACAAUCAUUACUGGAAACCGUGUUGAUUUAUAACAUUGUGUGAUGAGACAUUCUUUUAGUUUUUUUAACAUCUCCCUACAUGCUACCUCUCUCUCCCUCUAUUUCUCAUUUACAGGCCUGCAAUAUUAAAGAAUGGCGUGCCUAUGAAGGAGCUUGACCCUCUCAUGCAGUGAUGACCACGCGAAUGUGGGCCUGUGGAGGGAGGCCGCCCUGGAAGAGCUCGGUCUUAGCCAUCACCCAUCUCAAGGUUAGAGACAAAUAGUAUGAGGUGAAGGCCUCAUCCACUAACUACACGACAGUAAUGCACAGAAGAGAAGCAGGAAUUGUUCCUUGAAGACAGUAUCAGGGUGCAGGCCGGGGCAUUGAAAAUAAUCUACCUCGCAGGGGUGUCUAAAUCAAUCCCUGUGGGGGUUUGGAAUGGUGAUGCGGAGUACGUUUGUUUAAGGGCAAAGGGCGGGAUCCAGAUGCAGACAUGGGAGGCAGACGGUUCGAGAUACCAGGGUAGCGUCCAUGAAACUCAUCUUGCCAGUUGAAUAGGUUUCCGGUGUAUCUGACUCACCCGUCAUUGUCUGAUUCUCUAAGAAGCUUGGUGGCCUCGGAUCCUCUCGAAAAAACAGCCUUCGGGGACUUCCGGAUUCAUUCGGAGGUAAGUGAGCCGUAGCGGAUGGACGAGUGUGACCUAGGCCAGACCUCCUCUCACUCCUGCAUUCCCAUAGACGUCUAUCAAUCCUAAUGGUGAGGGCGAUGACGGAAUCGAGGUCCACCGGUAACUCCUGAGCAGCUAGCUCAUAUUUUAUCACCUCUGAUAAUCCGUGAAGGAAGGUAUCAAAUAGGGACUCCGGAUUCCAGGCACUCUCGGUGGGCAACGUGGGAAAGUCUACAGCGUAGUCUGCCACACUACGGGAGUCUUGACGUAAUUCAAGUAGUUUUUGGGCCUCCUCUCUCCCGGAUACCGGAAAAUC